AGGGGAAGUGAGAUAGUGUCCAUCUUUAAUAGCAGCCUUGUAUAAUCAUUGUAUGGUGUACAUGCAGUUCCCCUCUUCAAUUCAGUGCCUGGAAAUUCUAGGCAUCCUAGGCCAUCUUUUCAAGGCACUAUGGAGUCUACCUCACCUUGAUUUAUGCUGCUGUCAAUGUUUCCUGGGAUUCCUCUUUCAUGGCAGUUUCACUAAAAGAGCAUGCUAGCAAAGUUUUGCUAAUUUGGAUCACAAUGUGUCCUACCACCACCUGCUGAUAAGAAAGAGAUGUUGAUUCCUUCCAGGGUCUCUUGUGAACGUUGUGGAAGGACACUGAACAUCAGCUUAGACUGUGAUCGCCUCAUGCCUCCUGUGGUCCAUUGGACACCUGCUCCACCCUGCAUCCACCAGUGAGGCUGAAUGCCCUGGGCACUUGUGGACACAUCUACAAGUUGAAGGAGAAAAGUAAAGAUCCAGUCAACACUGCAGAUGAUUAAACAUAGUGUGAAAUCACCCAUGGGUGACUGUGGGAAUCAAUCGUCUCUCGUCUGGCAGCCUCCACUUCCAGAGUCAAGAACACACUGGUAUUUCAAUGUGUACUGGAAUGUCAAUGCCACAAGCAGGCACUGUGCCAAACAGAACAUCAGAGGAACUUAGAGCAACAGCGACAAGAGCUGCUGGCAUCUUUGGUGGACUCUUCUGGCUGGCCUCACUACUGGUUCUUCCGUAGCUAUCAGUAAAGCCAUAUUCAACUCCA